UGGGGAAUUUUGGACAAUGGGCGAAAGCCUGAUCCAGCAAUGCCGCGUGUGUGAAGAAGGCCUUCGGGUUGUAAAGCACUUUUGUCCGGAAAGAAAUCCUUGGCUCUAAUACAGUCGGGGGAUGACGGUACCGGAAGAAUAAGCACCGGCUAACUACGUGCCAGCAGCCGCGGUAAUACGUAGGGUGCAAGCGUUAAUCGGAAUUACUGGGCGUAAAGCGUGCGCAGGCGGUUUGCUAAGACCGAUGUGAAAUCCCCGGGCUCAACCUGGGAACUGCAUUGGUGACUGGCAGGCUAGAGUAUGGCAGAGGGGGGUAGAAUUCCACGUGUAGCAGUGAAAUGCGUAGAGAUGUGGAGGAAUACCGAUGGCGAAGGCAGCCCCCUGGGCCAAUACUGACGCUCAUGCACGAAAGCGUGGGGAGCAAAACAGGAUUAGAUACCCUGGUAGUCCACGCCCUAAAACGAUGUCAACUAGUUGUUGGGGAUUCAUUUCCUUAGUAACGUAGCUAACGCGUGAAGUUGACCGCCUGGGGAGUACGGUCGCAAGAUUAAAACUCAAA
rnacentral:rRNA from 1 species